AGCCUUGGUACACGAGGCCUUUCAUUUGUUGGUUUUACAGCUGGAAGAAUUCGGAUAUACUUAUUGACCGAGAGAAGAGUCCAAAACUCAGGAGUGGAAAAUAACGAAGAAUGAAGAAAGGAAACAGGAAGAGGUUGACCUGAUUGAUGGAAAGGAGCUCCUCUUUCUCCAAAACCAGAAGGAAAAGGAAGAUUUAGAGAGCAGAGGAGGGGCUCUGGUGACUGCUCUGUUUGCCCCUUGAAGCUACUUGCCUGCAGCCUCUGCCAUGUCCUUGUUGGUGAAUUGAACAGAAGCGCCACCGUCAGCUCCCCAACUGCCGCUUCGGUGGCAUCUGACACUCGUGGCCACGUCUUCCAAGGUCUUUGAGGAAAAGCCUGUGAGAGUCAGGUGUCCCGGUGAAUGUCUCUCCCGACGUCCCCGAUUCCCAGCAGCUCUUCCUUGUGCCUCCCCAAUCUCCUCCAGAGACACCCCUUUCUCCACCUGUCCGUGAGACAACUCAGGAUUUUGAUCUGCAGGUUGAUUAUGGGACUUCCUGACUCUCUGCCACCAUACCCUUCUCCUCAGUGAGAGGAGAAAGCAAUUGUUACAACAUACCUGUUUCAAAGGACAGAGCAAUCUUUAAAAAGACAUCUGACUGUGUCUUCUCUUGUUCAGAGCCCAUCUGUGGCCGCUGGCCAUGCUUCUGGCUGUGUUGCCUCUUCAAUGUCAGCCCCAGCCCCUCGGUGAUCUGACCUUGGCUCCGUCUCACCAUCGCACACUGCCCUCUCCGCCUGCACCGUCCCCGCCACUCACUGGGCUCACAGACUGGUGAGGAAGAGUGCAAAGCAAACCACCAUUUCAGCACAGGUUUAGGUUGUUUUCAAUGAAAAGAAAUGGAAAUCCAUGAAUAAAAUGGCUAAAACAAUAAGGAAAAUUCGUUAAAGUCCAGUGGAGGUUUUCUGCUCCAAGCUGGGUGACAUUGGUGGCUUCACAACCACAUUUUCCUCCCCUCUUUUCCCUCCGCCUCCUGGCUGGCUCCCUAGGCGCCCCUCUCCCCCGGGGUGGCACAGCCACUGGCAUCCUGCCCCCACAUUACUGCUGCUCCCGGUGACUGGCCCCAGGACUAGCCAGUCACCAUUUCCCCACGUGGAAUUCCUUUUCUCCACAAGAAGACUCCUUGCUAGAAGCCCCCUGUCCCACCCCAGCCAACUUUCCCUGCUGUCCCCUUGCCAUAAUUACGUCAUAUGGAUGUAUCUACUCCAAAUGCUGGCAGGGCAGGGGCUGGGAGUCCGGGGCUGGGACAACCGCAUUGGCUUAGAUCAAUCUCGCCGCCUCCUUUUGCGGCCUGGGGCUUUAGUCCACAUUCCUGCAGCCAUUGGCCAUGCACAGUGGACACCAUGCAGGAUGGAGGAAGGAGUGACCCACAGGGUCCAUGGUAGAUAUUUCAGCCAAUAGGACAGGGGCAGGCAUAGCGCUGUGGGACCUGUGCCUGGGGUUCCAGUCAAAAUCCAAUGCUUGGCAAAGUCCCCUGGCCUAGUACAAAAUCUGUGCAGGCCUGGUAACCUCCUUGCUGGCUGAGACACUGUCUGCACUGAGGAAGCCUCGGGCCUAGCACCAUGACUCGCAGGGAAUCUGAAUUCAACAAAUACUCGUAUCAGUUGAAUGAAUGAACGACUGGUCCUCUGCUCAUCUUAUGUGUCUAAUGUUAUCAUUGUGAUAAUGCCAAGUGCCAUGACCAUGUCAAAAUUAACACUUUAGGCUCUAUGACUGGUGGUUUUACUGGCACUACGCACAAUGUUCCUUGUGUUCCUUUAGCCUCU
rnacentral:lncRNA from 10 species